rnacentral:rRNA from 1 species
UAUGCAAGUCGAACGGCAGCACGGGCUUCGGUCUGGUGGCGAGUGGCGAACGGGUGAGUAAUGUAUCGGAACGUACCAUUCAGUGGGGGAUAACGUAGCGAAAGUUACGCUAAUACCGCAUAUUCUCUCCGGAGGAAAGCAGGGGACCGCAAGGCCUUGCGCUGAUUGAGCGGCCGAUAUCAGAUUAGCUAGUUGGUGGGGUAACGGCUCACCAAGGCGACGAUCUGUAGCGGGUCUGAGAGGAUGAUCCGCCACACUGGAACUGAGACACGGUCCAGACUCCUACGGGAGGCAGCAGUGGGGAAUUUUGGACAAUGGGCGCAAGCCUGAUCCAGCCAUGCCGCGUGAGUGAAGAAGGCCUUCGGGUUGUAAAGCUCUUUCGGCCGGGAAAAAAUCGCAUGGGCUAAUACCCUGUGUGGAUGAUGGUACCGGAAUAAGAAGCACCGGCUAACUACGUGCCAGCAGCCGCGGUAAUACGUAGGGUGCGAGCGUUAAUCGGAAUUACUGGGCGUAAAGCGUGCGCAGGCGGUUUUGUAAGACAGGCGUGAAAUCCCCGGGCUCAACCUGGGAACUGCGCUUGUGACUGCAAGGCAAGAGUAUGGCAGAGGGGGGUGGAAUUCCACGUGUAGCAGUGAAAUGCGUAGAGAUGUGGAGGAACACCGAUGGCGAGGCAGCCCCCUGGGCCAAUACUGACGCUCAUGCACGAAAGCGUGGUAGCAAACAGGAUUAGAUACCCUGUAGUCCACGCCCUAAACGAUGUCAACUAGGUGUUGGGUGGGUAAAACCAUUUAGUACCGGAGCUAACGCGUGAAGUUGACCGCCUGGAGUACGCGCAGUUAAACUCAAAGGAAUUGACGGGACCGCACAGCGGUGAUGAUGUGGAUAAUUCGAUGCAACGCGAAAACUACUACCUG